CGGCCAUCCUACUGAUAUGAACCAGAUCAUACCUGCCCUGAUGGGAUGCCAGAGAAAGACUGCUGCAAGGUACUCGCCACUCACAGACCUCUCCGUUUAUCUCACUGAUGCAAAGGACCCUGAGUAGGGCUCCUCUGGAAACAGAACAGAGGGAAGAAGAUACCUUCCUUGAAGCCCAGAUGUUCCAGAAGCCUGCGCCUCAUUCACAAAGUCACCCCAAAAAUGCCCUAGAGUUUGGAGUUUUGAAGAAGUGGGAAGAAGGCCUGAGUAAGGGCCUGGGAACCAAGUUAGAUCCUGCUUCAGCAUCAGCACAUGCCAGCGAUGGUGCACACAGGUGGAGAGCGGCCUGCCUGUCUUUUCCAUGGUGCCCACAGACCCAUUUAGGAUGAAAGAUCAGAAAAUUCUCUCCAUGUCACCGCUUCUGAAACAUGUGAAUAUUAAUAUUUGGUGCCUAAAAGGUCAUGGCAAAUUUUCGUUGGUUUUAUCUUAUUCAUGAUUAUAGAGUUGAAAGAAUACAUAUUCC
rnacentral:lncRNA from 1 species